rnacentral:rRNA from 1 species
UACAGAGGUGCCGAGCGUUAGGCGGAAUCACUGGGCUUAAAGCGUGUGUAGGCGGAUGCCUAAGUACCUUGUGAAAUCCCACGGCUUAACCGUGGAACUGCUCGGUAUACUGGGUGUCUUGAGCCACUUAGGGGCUACCGGAACAAAGGGUGGAGCGGUGAAAUGCGUAGAUAUCAUUUGGAACGCCAAUGGUGAAAACAGGUAGCUGGGAGUGUGCUGACGCUGAGACACGAAAGCCAGGGGAGCGAACGGG